AACGAACGCUGGCGGCAGGCUUAACACAUGCAAGUCGAACGCCCCGCAAGGGGAGUGGCAGACGGGUGAGUAACGCGUGGGAAUCUACCCAGUUCUACGGAACAACUGAGGGAAACUUCAGCUAAUACCGUAUACGCCCUAAGGGGGAAAGAUUUAUCGGAAUUGGAUGAGCCCGCGUUGGAUUAGCUAGUUGGUGGGGUAAUGGCCUACCAAGGCGACGAUCCAUAGCUGGUCUGAGAGGAUGAUCAGCCACACUGGGACUGAGACACGGCCCAGACUCCUACGGGAGGCAGCAGUGGGGAAUAUUGGACAAUGGGCGCAAGCCUGAUCCAGCCAUGCCGCGUGAGUGAUGAAGGCCUUAGGGUUGUAAAGCUCUUUCAGUGGGGACGAUAAUGACGGUACCCACAGAAGAAGCCCCGGCUAACUUCGUGCCAGCCGCCGCCGUAACAC
rnacentral:rRNA from 1 species